CUACGUGCCAGCAGCCGCGGUAAUACGUAGGUCCCGAGCGUUGUCCGGAUUUAUUGGGCGUAAAGCGAGCGCAGGCGGUUAGAUAAGUCUGAAGUUAAAGGCUGUGGCUUAACCAUAGUACGCUUUGGAAACUGUUUAACUUGAGUGCAGAAGGGGAGAGUGGAAUUCCAUGUGUAGCGGUGAAAUGCGUAGAUAUAUGGAGGAACACCGGUGGCGAAAGCGGCUCUCUGGUCUGUAACUGACGCUGAGGCUCGAAAGCGUGGGGAGCGAACAGGAUUAGAUACCCUGGUAGUCCACGCCGUAAACGAUGAGUGCUAGGUGUUAGGCCCUUUCCGGGGCUUAGUGCCGCAGCUAACGCAUUAAGCACUCCGCCUGGGGAGUACGACCGCAAGGUUGAAACUCAAAGGAAUUGACGGGGGCCCGCACAAGCGGUGGAGCAUGUGGUUUAAUUCGAAGCAACGCGAAGAACCUUACCAGGUCUUGACAUCCCGAUGCCCGCUCUAGAGA
rnacentral:rRNA from 1 species